rnacentral:rRNA from 1 species
AGGGCGGGACACGUGGUAUCCUGUCUGAAUAUGGGGGGACCAUCCUCCAAGGCUAAAUACUCCUGACUGACCGAUAGUGAACCAGUACCGUGAGGGAAAGGCGAAAAGAACCCCGGCGAGGGGAGUGAAAAAGAACCUGAAACCGUGUACGUACAAGCAGUGGGAGCACGCUUAGGCGUGUGACUGCGUACCUUUUGUAUAAUGGGUCAGCGACUUAUAUUCUGUAGCAAGGUUAACCGAAUAGGGGAGCCGAAGGGAAACCGAGUCUUAACUGGGCGUUAAGUUGCAGGGUAUAGACCCGAAACCCGGUGAUCUAGCCAUGGGCAGGUUGAAGGUUGGGUAACACUAACUGGAGGACCGAACCGACUAAUGUUGAAAAAUUAGCGGAUGACUUGUGGCUGGGGGUGAAAGGCCAAUCAAACCGGGAGAUAGCUGGUUCUCCCCGAAAGCUAUUUAGGUAGCGCCUCGUGAAUUCAUCUCCGGGGGUAGAGCACUGUUUCGGCAAGGGGGUCAUCCCGACUUACCAACCCGAUGCAAACUGCGAAUACCGGAGAAUGUUAUCACGGGAGACACACGGCGGGUGCUAACGUCCGUCGUGAAGAGGGAAACAACCCAGACCGCCAGCUAAGGUCCCAAAGUCAUGGUUAAGUGGGAAACGAUGUGGGAAGGCCCAGACAGCCAGGAUGUUGGCUUAGAAGCAGCCAUCAUUUAAAGAAAGCGUAAUAGCUCACUGGUCGAGUCGGCCUGCGCGGAAGAUGUAACGGGGCUAAACCAUG